AGUACAUUCAAAAGAAAAAUGAUCGCAACAAUUUGUUGGAGAAGAAAUACCCAAAUCCGAACAAGAACCAAACUAAAAUCGACUUUUUGAAUUGUUGCAGCAUCCAAUUCAAGAAUGAGUACUACUGCGUCCGCUUUUGCUUCGAACGAGGAUCCUGGUUCAAGUUUUGAAAGGGGGGGAAAGGAAGAUUCGUGUAGCAGUCUAGCAGAUAAGCGAGUCAAUAAGCUUGCUUUGUGAUCCCAUGUGGCUUCUUCUUUAUCUUCAAAGAGCUUCAGAGAAGGAUAUUCGGAUUGGUCUUCUUGGUGCUAGUGGCUACACUGGCGCUGAGGUUUGUGCAAUGUUUGUUUUGGUGAUCUCUUUUAGUUUUGAAAUGAAUCAGAGCUUAAGUGGUGUGUAUCUUGUUUGUUGCAAAGUAUGUGGCUUUUUUUGGGGUAUUGUCCUCCUUAUUUAGCUAAAGCAAUAAAAACAUAUGCUUAGUUUAGUAUAGCCUAGUAGUCAUUUGGAUUUUUUAAGGUUCUUUAAAAUUUCAGGGGAAGGAAUGUAUCUAAGCGUUGUUUCAAAUGCAUAAGGUAGUAAGUUUUCAUUUGAACAAUGAUUUUAUUGAAUGGCAGAUCGUCAGUCUUCUUGCAAAUCAUCAGCAUUUCCAAAUUAAAUUACUCACUCUGAUGACUGCUGAUAGAAAAGCUGGCCAGUCAAUGGAAAGCGUUUUCCCACACCUGAGAACUCAAGUAUAAGUGAUAUAUAUUGAUAUUCCAAGUGAUGAAUCUGUUCAAUGUUACUUUGUGAUGGUGUAUAGUGAUUGAUGAUGUUAGUGGAGCAGGUUUGAGCUUACUCCGUGAUCAUUAUUCAUGAACAAUGAUGCAGGGAGAAUGUUUCUAGUUUCUUGACAUGAUAUGAAAAUAAUCAUCAGACGUCGUGCUAAGGAGGGGAAUCUUUACUCUGAGAUAGCUCAAGGCAUUUCUUCUUAUGGUGUCACACCACAUCGCCAUGGUAUGUCACAAUUUGGUCAUUACAAUGAGUAAAAAAUUUGGUUCUAUUGUCAUAUAAAUGUCUAUCCUGAUCGAAUCCCCGGAAGAGCUAUCAUAAUCUCAGUGAUUGAUAAUCUGGUGAAAGGAGCUUCGGGACAAGCGUUGCAGAGUCUUAACAUAAUGUUGGGAUAUCCCGAAACAACGAGACUCAGACACCAGCCACUUUUCCCUUAAGAUGUAACGAAUUUAAGUUUUCGUAGCAGUCCGAGGAAAAUUGUUACAGAUCUGAUCGUUCGAGGUACCCUUGUAAGUUGUAACGGGUACGGGUGACCAAAUUAGGAAGGGGUACAUGUCUCAGUGCCAAACUAAACCGAGUAUUUUGGUUACUAGAGUUCAGGGUUUGAGAAAAUCAAAUGACCAUUUCGCCCAUUCUCCUUCACUUUUAACGCGGUUUUGACUUCUUCUGCCCGUCUUGCCCGGUUAAUUGUGGCGGGAAAAUUGAGAGAGGGAAAAAAAGAUUGAUUAGAGAAGAAAAGUGAAAAAAAUGAGAAGUUGGCGGGAAAGAGUCAUCAGUCCGGAGAAAGCGGGGUUUUGUAGUGGCGGCUGUGUUUGUGAGUUGUGGGAGUUUGGUCUUUCCACGUUGUCGUCAACAACACGUGUGUGUCUGUCUGUCUGCAUUGACUCACUCCCAAGAUAAAUUGACACCUCAUCCAUCAGAUGGGUUAGUUCACUUCAUUCCAUGAAAUUUUUUGAUAAAAUCAAUGGUAUACAAAAACUUUACACACUUAAAUUUUGUUCUUUAAAGCAGGAGUAUAUGAUUUACUCUUUUGUCAACUAAACUAUACAAUAGGAAGAAGACUAACUUUCUAUCGACUCUUAUAGUGAUGUAUCCAUCGUGAGAAAAGACUCACUUUCUAUAGACUCUAAUUGGUUUAGAUUUUUA